CACGUAGUUAGCCGGGGCUUCUUAAUCAGGUACCGUCUGGCGACCCAAAGGUCGCUAUUUCUUCCCUGCUGAUAGGGCUUUACAUACCGAAAUACUUCUUCACUCACGCGGCGUCGCUGCAUCAGGGUUUCCCCCAUUGUGCAAUAUUCCCCACUGCUGCCUCCCGUAGGAGUUUGGGCCGUGUCUCAGUCCCAAUGUGGCCGUUCACCCUCUCAGGCCGGCUACUGAUCGUCGCCUUGGUGAGCCAUUACCCCGCCAACAAGCUAAUCAGACGCGGAACCAUCGUAUACCACCGGAGUUUUUCACACCACUUCAUGCGAAGCUGUGCGCUUAUGCGGUAUUAGCACCUAUUUCUAAGUGUUAUCCCCCAGUAUACGGCAGGUUUUCCACGCGUUACUCACCCGUCCGCCACUAACUCAUAAAUCACUAGGUUUCAAUAUGAGCCCGUUCGACUUGCAUGUGUUAAGCACGCCGCCAGCGUUCAUCCUGAGCCAGGAUCAAACUCU
rnacentral:rRNA from 1 species